GAUGAACGCUGGCGGCGUGCCUAACACAUGCAAGUCGAGCGCUUUACUUCGGUAAAGAGCGGCGGACGGGUGAGUAACGCGUGGGUAAUCUGCCCUGUACACACGGAUAACAUACCGAAAGGUAUGCUAAUGCGAGUUAAUAUACUUUUAUCGCAUGGUAGAAGUAUCAAAGCUCCGGCGGUACAGGAUGGACCCGCGUCUGAUUAGCUAGUUGGUAAGGUAACGGCUUACCAAGGCGACGAUCAGUAGCCGACCUGAGAGGGUGAUCGGCCACAUUGGAACUGAGACACGGUCCAAACUCCUACGGGAGGCAGCAGUGGGGAAUAUUGCACAAUGGGCGAAAGCCUGAUGCAGCAACGCCGCGUGAGCGAUGAAGGCCUUCGGGUCGUAAAGCUCUGUCCUCAAGGAAGAUAAUGACGGUACUUGAGGAGGAAGCCCCGGCUAACUACGUGCCAGCCGCCGCAGUAA
rnacentral:rRNA from 1 species